rnacentral:tRNA from 1 species
GCGCUCUUAGCUCAGUUGGAUAGAGCAACAGCCUUCUAAGCUGUGGGUCGGGAGUUCGAGCCUUCCAGGGCGCGCCA